rnacentral:lncRNA from 1 species
CAACGGCUAGUUUUUUGCCCAUUUUAAUUGCCUUUUAUGCUUCCUUAAAAUGCUCUAACGGCUCUUUUUCUGCCUAAAUUGUUUUUCCUUGUUUCUUAAGGCUAUAAAAGGUUUCAAAAGGUGAAAGAAAAGAAGGGGAUCCAAAAUCUACACGAGAGAAACUGUGAUCAACGAUAUACACGAGAGAAAAAGAAAAGGGAUCCACAAUCCACAUGAGAGAGACAAAGAAUCUACAAUAUACACGAGAGAUUGUGAAAGAGAAAAACAAGAGCGUUCAAAAGGGCAUUCAAGAGCAUUCAAAGAGAGGGUUUUUCAAGCCAACUGUUCAACC